rnacentral:rRNA from 1 species
UACAGAGGUCCCAAGCGUUGUUCGGAUUCAUUGGGCGUAAAGGGUGUGUAGGCGGCGCGGUAAGUCGGAUGUGAAAUCUCGGAGCUUAACUCCGAAACUGCAUUCGAUACUGCCGUGCUUGAGGACUGGAGAGGAGACUGGAAUUUACGGUGUAGCGGUGAAAUGCGUAGAUAUCGUAAGGAAGACCAGUGGCGAAGGCGGGUCUCUGGACAGUUCCUGACGCUGAGGCACGAAGGCCAGGGGAGCAAACGGG